AUCUCAAUUAUAUUUUACUACUCAGUAAUCUGAUCAAACAAAGAUGAAUAUGCAUGAAUCUUGUUAAUCUUGAAUUUUAGAAUGACUCGGUAUUAUUUGAAAAGUAAUCUCGAAUCUGAUUUCACUUGCAAGUCAUCGAUUCAGGAAAAUUUAUUUACAAGAAAACACAAUGUACAGAAUUCUAAUUACAUUGAUGCUUUUUGUAUAUCUUGCGUAUACAGAAGCUACAAUUGCAUGCGGUAUUGCAUGUGCAGCUGCAGGUGAUUCUGACAUUGGCCUAGGAUUGCCAACAGAAAAUGGAUGUCACUGUUAAAACAUCAAAUCGAGCAUUAAGCUGUCACACUAUUUAGAUUAAGAAUACGGAAAAUUACAUUGAUACAGAGAUGAUUACGAGAAUGUAGCAUAAAAUUAUAAAAUAUUUUAUUUGAAAGAAUUGAGCACAAUAAAAAGAACUUUUAAAAAUUG